rnacentral:rRNA from 1 species
GACGAAAGUCUGAUGGAGCAACGCCGCGUGAGUGAUGAAGGGUUUCGGCUCGUAAAACUCUGUUGUUGGAGAAGAACGGGUGUGAGAGUAACUGUUCACAUCGUGACGGUAUCCAACCAGAAAGCCACGGCUAACUACGUGCCAGCAGCCGCGGUAAUACGUAGGUGGCAAGCGUUGUCCGGAUUUAUUGGGCGUAAAGCGAGCGCAGGCGGUUUUUUAGGUCUGAUGUGAAAGCCUUCGGCUUAACCGGAGAAGUGCAUCGGAAACCGGGAGACUUGAGUGCAGAAGAGGACAGUGGAACUCCAUGUGUAGCGGUGAAAUGCGUAGGAUAUGUGGAAGAACACCAGUGGCGAAGGCGGCUGUCUGGUCUGUAACUGACGCUGAGGCUCGAAAGCAUGGGUAGCGAACAGGAUUAGAUACCCUGGUAGUCCAUGCCGUAAACGAUGAGUGCUAAGUGUUGGAGGGUUUCCGCCCUUCAGUGCUGCAGCUAACGCAUUAAGCACUCCGCCUGGGGAGUACGACCGCAAGGUUGAAACUCAAAGGGAUUGACGGGGGCCCGCACAAGCGGUGGAGCAUGUGGUUUAAUUCGAUGCUACGCGAAGAACCUUACCAGGUCUUGACAUCUUCUGCCAACCUAAG